UCCCCUAGUAACUGCGAGUGAAGCGGGAAAAGCUCAAAUUUAAAAUCUGGCGGUUUUGGCCGUCCGAGUUGUAGUCUGGAGAAGUGCUUUCUGUGCUGGACCGUGUACAAGUCUCUUGGAACAGAGCGUCAUAGAGGGUGAGAAUCCCGUCUUUGACACGGACUACCAGUGCUUUGUGAUGCGCUCUCAAAGAGUCGAGUUGUUUGGGAAUGCAGCUCAAAAUGGGUGGUGAAUUCCAUCUAAAGCUAAAUAUUGGCGAGAGACCGAUAGCGAACAAGUACCGUGAGGGAAAGAUGAAAAGCACUUUGGAAAGAGAGUUAAACAGUACGUGAAAUUGCUAAAAGGGAAACGCUUGAAGUCAGUCGCGUUGUCCGAAACUCAGCCUUGCCUUGGCUUGGUGUAUUUUUUGGUUAACGGGUCAGCAUCGAUUUUGACCGAUGGAUAAAGGUCAGGGGAAUGUGGCACCUUCGGGUGUGUUAUAGCCUCUGAUUGUAUACAUCGGUUGGGAUCGAGGAACUCAGCUUCGGCUUAGGAUGCUGGCAUAAUGGCUUUAAACGACCCGUCUUGAAACACGGACCAAGGAGUCUAACAUGCCCGCGAGUGUUUGGGUGGUAAACUCAGGCGCGUAAUGAAAGUGAAUGUUGAGACCUCUGUCGUGGAGGGCAUCAACGCCCGGACCUGACGUUCUCUGACGGCUCCGCGGUAGAGCGUGUAUGUUGGGACCCGAAAGAUGGUGAACUAUGCCUGAAUAGGGUGAAGCCAGAGGAAACUCUGGUGGAGGCUCGUAGCGAUUCUGACGUGCAAAUCGAUCGUCAAAUUUGGG
rnacentral:rRNA from 1 species